UGUUGAUCGAUUUAUUUUUGGCAGUGAGAGAGAGAGAGUGUGUGUAUGGAAGAACAGAGAAAAAUCAUAAGAACAGAGAACAUUGAAAAAUCAGGAAAAAAAAUUAGAUGGAAUAAGAGAGAAAAAUAAAAAAAAUAACUUAGCUCUACUUCUGCCGGUGAUGAAAUGAGCAGCAGUCGUCGGCGACGGACGAAACAAUACUCGACUGGGACUGAUGGAGCUAAACUUGGCUGAGACGGUUUCAGAUGAACUCACAGGCAUGGAGAGAAGGACAGAAGGAGAAAAGGGGAGAAUGAAAUGGGAGAGCCGGUGAGAUAGAGGGGUAUUUUUGAGAUAAUGAAAAUGGGUUAUGUAAUAGUCUUUUACUCACAAGGGUUAAAGAGUCAUUUCAUAACAUCAUCUAACAGAAACUGAUGGCAGGGGGUUUGAACGUAAUUUGACAUUUAACAAGAGGUGUUCUUAUAAUAUUGACAUUUUUUAGGGGGUGGCGCUGUAAAUUACCCAAUAAAAAAUGUACCAUAUACGUACAAAGUCGGCAUGGUAUCAAUAUUGAAAUGUAGGCAUUUUUUUUUAUGUGAUACGAGUAUCGAAAUCGUAUCGAAUACCGUACCGGCAUUGCCUCAGGUAGGUUUCACUCCACAACUUGGUAAAAUGCCCAAAACCAGCUGGAGGAUUUCCAAACAGGCCUGUUGGGCUGGGAUCACAGGCUUAUUUCAGGUCCAACCAGGAUGGGUUUUAAGCAAAUAAAUCAAGGCCUUUCCUAGGUCUUGCCCGGGGUCUAGCCCAUGCCCUAAAUCUAUUCCGGCACAGAUUGUGUUUAUGAUUUCUUAGUUGAGGAGGCUUCUGUAAUUUCCCAGAUGACUAAGUUACCAUUUUAGCCCUUCGGAGGGGUAUCAUAUGGAUUAGGGUUUCCCGUUCGUUCCCCUCCUAAAACCCUGACCUCUAUAAAUACCCAUAGACGGUUUAGCCGUCAAAUUUGCGACACGCGAACACUGAAACAAAUCGGCGAAGGUACCAGAGGCCGAGGGCGAAGAUGAGAGCCAAGUGGAAGAAGAAGCGCAUGAGGAGACUCAAGAGAAAGCGCCGAAAGAUGAGGCAGAGAUCCAAGUAGAUUGGAGCAGUGGCACAUAAUAGACACAAAGAUGGUUCGUUUUAUGCAAUUCCUUUCCUCCUGAUAUGGCCUUCGUGAUGGAGGAUGGAGUAGUGAAAGACGGGUCAUUGUUGGGUCUAUAUUCCUUCUUUUCUCUGUUUUGCAGUUUAAAACUGAGUAGGCUAUAGCCUUUAAUACCGAGUAUAGACAUGUAUUGAGUGGUUCCUUCUUUCAGUAAGUUGUUUCGGUGUAUCUGGAUUCGUCAACUGGGUAAUGGAAUUUGUGUUUUGAGAUUUUUGUUUCA